UCUAUCCGAGCGUUCGCAGAACAGGCGCAGCAGAGAGCGAACAACGAAGGUGUGGACGACUAGUUGAGAAAGAGGCUCAGAAAAUAGAGCAUUGCUUGCCCUGGAAACGGGUAGCAUUGUCUAGUGGGCGUCAAGAGUAGCUACAAAACCAACAACAGCGAAAAGAGGAAUGUCGACAAUCUUGUGCUACCCUUCGAUCUUGGAACAGCCCUUUUAGCUUAACCUGAACUGGAUCGUUUUGGGGCCACGACAGAGUAAUCAGACGGUGAUCAGCGGUAACUGCAUAAAAAAAAGAAGAAGCCGUUCGUCAGCCUCUGCAUGGGUCGCCACUAACCCUUUCUCGGAGAAGUUUCAUAGCAACCGAUCUCGUAUCAGUACCCUAGCCAUGUAGAUUUGGGCAAAACCCUAUUCCCGCUGUUCACAGGUGAUUGGGUCGCGUAGAGACCUGGGCCCCACCACACACACGUACAGUGCACGUCGUUCAGCAUCUUCCCGAAGCAGAGCACACUACAUCCAAGCGAGCAAACUGAAAGGCGGGCAUUUUCAAAAUGAUGUUUUCAAUACGUGCGUGCAAUUGCCCUCUUCCCACUGCUUUGGAUUUGUUUGCCCGUUCGCCAAUUACAUCGUGUGCGAUACAUUCCACGCCAGUCUCACUCAAUGAGAUUUUCCGCAAACAUCAUCGCUCCAUGGACUCACAACUCCUACCUCGUCCCAAUUGAGGAUGCAAUUGGCCGCUGUCGACUACUAGCUGGUUCUGCAGCUGCUAGCCUACGUUCAUAAGCUCAAAGCGUUCUUCAGGGAGUGCAAGAUGCGCUGUGGCCAAUCUGUAAACGACCUCGUCGAGGAUCGCUUAACUCGUGUCAGCUGUUGCUUUUCGGUGCGAUGAGUUAAGAAAGACGCCGUCGAAGGACAGCUGGUCGCAGGGUCCCGAUUUCAAUGUUAUCUUGCGGACGUACGUUCGUAGCAAUGAAAAUGUAACGUUUGCUAUCGACAUCAAACGCUGUUAGGCUAACGAAAUGAUAACAAGACAAGGUACGUAUUGGUCCUGUGGUUUAGAAAAAUGCGCGGAGCAAUACUCUGAACUGAUACUAACUUGAUUAGCAGCAGAGAGAACGUAACAGCAAUUUGCAUCACCGUGCCAUAUGAUGUGUGUAUGUUUGCCUGUACACGUCUAACAGGGAUUUCAAGCAAUUGAUCGAUGUCCUGGGAUAGGACUUA